rnacentral:lncRNA from 1 species
UGAUCUUUGUUUGUCUUGUGCUUGAACUUCGUUACGUGAUAUUUGCACGCUUGUGCUUGGACCUCGUCAUAUGUCAAUUGCGCAUAGUUUGUCAUUUAUCAAAACCUACAAAUAUGAACACACGUUUAGUUUAGUGCCUUGAGAACGUGUUUCAACAUAAUACAAUAUAUACUAACAUUCGAGCUUUGGGUUUUGAAGGGCUAUUUCACC